rnacentral:rRNA from 1 species
AUUGAACGCUGGCGGCAUGCCUUACACAUGCAAGUCGAACGGUAGAGGGGCAACCCUUGAGAGUGGCGAACGGGUGAGUAAUGCAUCGGAACGUGCCCAGUCGUGGGGGAUAACGUAGCGAAAGCUACGCUAAUACCGCAUACGAUCUGCGGAUGAAAGCGGGGGACCUUCGGGCCUCGCGCGAUUGGAGCGGCCGAUGUCAGAGUUAGCUAGUUGGUGGGGUAAAGGCCUACCAAGGCGACGAUCUGUAGCUGGUCUGAGAGGACGACCAGCCAAACUGGGACUGAGACACGGGCCAGACUCCUACGGGAGGCAGCAGUGGGGAAUUUUGGACAAUGGGCGCAAGCCUGAUCCAGCCAUGCCGCGUGCAGGAAGAAGGCCUUCGGGUUGUAAACUGCUUUUGUCAGGGAAGAAAUCUCCUGGGUUAAUACCUUGGGAGGAUGACGGUACCUGAAGAAUAAGCACCGGCUAACUACGUGCCAGCCGCCGCAGUAACAC